CGCGGGGUAGAGCAGCCCGGUAGCUCGUCAGGCUCAUAACCUGAAGGCCGCAGGUUCAAAUCCUGCCCCCGCAACCA
rnacentral:tRNA from 29 species